AGUGAUGACGGUACCUGCAGAAUGAGCACCGGCUAACUCCGUGCCAGCAGCCGCGGUAAUACGGAGGGUGCGAGCGUUGUCCGGAUUUAUUGGGUUUAAAGGGUGCGUAGGCGGUUCUUUAAGUCCGGGGUGAAAGCCCGUUGCUCAACAACGGAACUGCCCUGGAUACUGGAGAACUUGA
rnacentral:rRNA from 1 species